rnacentral:rRNA from 1 species
AACGAACGCUGGCGGCAGGCCUAACACAUGCAAGUCGAACGCCGUAGCAAUACGGAGUGGCAGACGGGUGAGUAACGCGUGGGAACCUACCUUACGGUCGGGAAUAGCUCAGGGAAACUUGGGGGUAAUACCGGAUACGCCCUUACGGGGAAAGAUUUAUCGCCGUUAGAUGGGCCCGCGUCGGAUUAGCUUGUUGGUGAGGUAACGGCUCACCAAGGCGACGAUCAGUAGCUGGUCUGAGAAGAUGAUCAGCCACAUUGGGACUGAGACACGGCCCAAACUCCUACGGGAGGCAGCAGUGGGGAAUAUUGGACAAUGGGCGAAAGCCUGAUCCAGCAAUGCCGCGUGAGUGAUGAAGGCCUUAGGGUUGUAAACCCCUUUUCUGGGGGACGAUAAUGACGGUACCCCAGGAAGAAGCCCCGG